rnacentral:ncRNA from 1 species
AAUAAAUUUUUUAUGGUUUGAUAAUUUAUUAUAAAUUUAUUUUACAUAUAAAUUUUAGUAUCUAUUUUUAAUUAUUUUAAUAAUAUUUAAAUUGAAUAUAUAGUAAUUAAUAUUAAAAAUUUAAGAAAUUAAGAUUUAGUAAUAUUUGAAUUAAUAACAAAUUUUGUGCCAGCAGUUGCGGUUAAACAAAAGUUAAAUUAAAUUUUAUUAGUAAUUAAUAUAUAAUUAAAAAUAUUUAAAUAAAUGUAAAGUUAAUAGGUGAAAUUUUUAUUUUAUUUAAUUUAAUUUUUAUUUUGUAAUUUAAUAAAUUUUAUUUAUAAACUAGGAUUAGAUACCCUAUUAUUAAAAAUUUAAAUUAAAAAUACUAAAAUAGUAUAUAAUUAUUUAUUGAAACUUAAAUAAUUUGGCGGUAUUUUAGUUCAUUUAGAGGAAUCUGUUUAUAAUUGAUAAUCCACGAAUAAAUUUACUUAAUUUAUAAUUUUGUAUAUCGUUGUUAAAAAAAUAUUUUUAAAUAAAAAUAAUAUUUUAAAAUUAAAAUAAAAAUUAAAUCAGAUCAAGAUGCAGAUUAUAAUUAAGAAUAUAAUGGAUUACAAUAAAUUUAUUUAAAUGGAUAUUAAUUUGUAAAAAUUAAUUGAAGGUGGAUUUAAAUGUAAUUUUAUUUAAUUUAAUAAAAUGAUUAAAAAUUAAAAUAUGUACAUAUUGCCCGUCGCUUUCAUAAAUAAAUUGGAAUAAGUCGUAACAAAGUAGAGAUACUGGAAAGUGUUUCUAGAAAUAC